UUGACCGGUCUGAGCGUCUCCAAUGGAAAGGACCAACUCGUAGUGUUCCAUACGAAGGACAACAAAGACCUCAUUGUCUGCCUCUUCAGCAAACAGCCAACCCACGAGAGUCGAAUUGGAGAACUGGUUGGCGUCCUGGUGAAUCAUUUCAAGAGUGAGAAGCGCCACCUUCAAGUCAACGUCACCAACCCCGUGCAGUGCAGCCUGCAUGGGAAGAAAUGCACUGUCUCCGUGGAGACGCGGCUCAACCAGCCGCAGCCCGACUUCACCAAGAACCGCUCGGGCUUCAUCCUCAGCGUGCCAGGCAACUGAGGUGCCAGGGUCCGCGCUGUCAGGGUCCCCUGCCUCCUCUGCAGCGCCUCCCCGAGGUCCACCCCCGGCUUUCUCCUUUGGUCUCUGUCUUCCUCUGUCCUGACUGUCCGUGGCCCCCUCAGCAAACCAAAGACCAGCACCCAGCGACCCCUAGUCCCCAGCUCCCCUCUGGUCAGCCAAGGCCACCCCGACACCAGGUCAGCCUGCCUGACCCUUUGACCAGCAGCUGGCCGUGGAGGGGGGAGGGAUGGGGGCGCCCGGGUGCAGUUUCCAACCCAAGACAGGCCCCUGGGCUUGGGGAGAUGAGCUGGGGAGGCAGCCCUGCACUCUCCCUGGGCCCACCUGCCCUCCUCCCCAGGGCCAGAGCCGCCCCCAAGCCCAGCCUCAGGGAGCUGGAGCUCCUCACGGACCCCUGCCCCCAUCAGCCAGCCAAAGCCACCGGGUGAGCAGGUUCACCUGCAGGGCAGCCCCUCAGCCCAGGCGCCACUGGCCAGCAGACCAGCUGCAGCCAGCCGGUGUCUGUCCUGCCCAGAGCCUGCCCCCGGCCACCUCCCCAGCGAGAGCAGGCAGGGGAUGCCCCAGGGGUCAUCUGAACCAUGCAGCCUGGGCCUCUGCUUGUUUUAUACUUAUUUUUGCAGUCCGCAGGGUUACUCAUUAGAUUGCAUGUCUGCUGUGUCCACGUUCAUGCGAGGAACACUAAUAAGAAAAUAGAAUUGGGGGCAGGGGAACACUCGGGGGUUUGGAAGGGUCCCCUUCAGACACCUCUGCCUCGUACUCCCCAGGGCCGGGCUGGAGCACACAGGCAUCUGGGGAAGCAGAGCCAGGGGUCCUGGUGCUGCAGGCCAGGCCAGGAUGCCCGCCCCGGCCAGCGGAGAGCCCGUGUGCUCCACACGCGCCCAGGCCCGCCUCCUCCAGGCCUGGGCAGGAGGCCACAGACCUGGGCGCAGCCGGGGUGGGGAGGGGGUUGAGGGCGAGCCCAUGCCCCAGGAGGAGCCGGGGGGGCUGUGAAAGAGGGACGUGCUUGUGUCUUCUUCCCUUUCAGCCCCAGAACACAGAUGCUGCCUCCCCCGCCAGGCUCCCACCCCCCUGCCAUCCCCGACCCCACCAAACUCACCAAGUGCCGCCUCCUGUGCCUCGCCCAGUGCCUGCCGAGGUCACCUGGCCGGUCCCCGGGUGGUCCCAGCGGCCUGGUUUCCCACGCUGGCCCUCCCCCUGCUUCCCAGAGCUUGAGCGCAUUCGCACCCUGGACAACUCGCGACAAAGAGUCCUGGUGAUAUCCUGGCCUCGGAAACGCGCUCUCAUCCUCCAAGCCUGGUCGGCUGCCUGUACAGGGCAGCGCUGCCACCAGCCCCGUCCAGCAAUGCCCGCCGCCUUGCCAGUCGCCUUGACACUAGUCCAUCCGUCUUAACUGGAACAUGGCCCCUCCUUGCCACCCAUCUCCCCAGACUUGUUGCUUUACUAGAUCCACGCAAACGUAUGUUUUAGACACCAAGACAGAACGUGCCAACUGAGUGCCUUUCAGAGGCUGGAGGAGGAGCGGGGUCUGGAGUCCUGCCUCCUGCCUUUCCGCGCUGCCUCUGGCCCCUAAGCCCGGCACCUCCGGGUCCACAAGCACUUUUCCCAUGAUGUCCUAAAAGAAGUCACAGUGUGUGGCAACUGAAGAAGGACUUUCAGGUGUGACCACAGUGCCCAGGGCAAACCAGGAGGACGCAGUGAUUGUAUGCAAUGAAGGGUUUCUCUUGAUUUCAUUAAAUGCAGUUUUAUGGUUUGGUGCGUAUAUUCCUAGUUUCCAUUAAAUUAACUUUAUUUCUAAAGCAUAUUUUGAUUUAUCAUCAAGAGCAAUAAAGCAUUAAAUCU
rnacentral:lncRNA from 1 species